GUAAAGCGCAUUAGGGAUUGUAGUGAAAAUCCUUUUUGCCUGUAUUGAAACUAAAUUACAGCUAACAACCUUUUAUUAAUUUGAAAAAAUUUUGAAACCAAGUUGAAACUGUAUCGCAAAAAGAUUGCAACGGAAAGCCCGACCACGA
rnacentral:sRNA from 1 species